AACAUUAGAGAGAUACGGUAAACACGUUGAACCUUGAGAUACAUAGACCGCAAUAACCGCAGUGAUUUCUAGUCAGUUGUCGAGUGAGUUUCGGAUUCAUGGAGAGAAGAAGGAACAAUUUCUGUCGUUAUAAUGUACUUUAAAUAUUCCGUUUUAUUAACAAGUCGUUUAGAAAUUAUUAUACAGUCUGUUCUUUUUUAAUUAUUUACAUUCGAAUAAAAAUAUCGCGUCUAUAGAAUCUGUGAUACUACAAGAAAUAUUUAUUUAACCAACGAUGAAACUUCUGCAUCGUUUUAUAAGAGAACGCUUUAAUUGUAGCAUAUUGUCACUUUCGCAGUUUUCAUCUUUUUGGACACGGAAUUAAGCAAACUACCUGGAUGACACCUGGAAUGACGUAUUGCAGGAAAGUGAGCGGAGUUUAUAUUUUACAAGGUUGCCUCGUAAAUAGCUUCGUAGCUUAACAACCGAACAGCUCGAGGACAAGAGCCGCACGUUACCCCAAGCAGUGCCGUAACACGCGACACCCUCGAUGAACACCUUAUGCUAUUUUCAAGUCAUCUUAAUCAUCGCUUAUUUAUUGCUCUUUCAACGAUGAUAGUACCAAAAGAAUAAUCACUGUGUUGACUACCUUUCGAUAUGUUCUUGAAAAUUCUUGAAGGUUACUUUCUCUAACGGUUCCAAGACAUAUUUAUUGUUGAUUUUAUAGCACUUACUAUAAACAACGUUAUGUCGUAAACAUUUAUUUGCCGUCCGUUAUGUUCCGUUGUUAAUCCAGGUAAAAACGAAAGAAGAAACAUUGCUUUAGGCACAUCCGAGACCUUUUCUUUUGCCACUUCUUCGUGUGCCGGAUUGUCAACGAGGCAGAAUCGUAAAACUUUCUCUUUGCACAUUUUGUACGAGUGUAAAAUUUACGUUUGGCUUACAUCGAGUUACGUUGAGUCUUUCCGUCCCCGGUCCUCAACGAUUUCGACCGUGACGUCCUUUUAAAUUUUCAAAGGCGUCCUGAAAUUUUGUUUCUUUUUCUAAACCAUUCAAUAUAUAAGUAACUUGUCAUCUUGGCAAAAGGUUGUUGAAGGAUAAUCCGGAAACAAAGAAAAAAGAAAAUAAAAACGUACAAAGAUUGUUCAGUAUAGCACAUUCCCAUGUUAACAUUUAAAAUUAUUUUGUUAGAAAUUAUUUAUUUCGUAUUUAUAUAUGUAUAUAUAUAUGUACAAAGUAAAAGACAAAAUAUAAUAUUAUAUCGAUUUUAUACAAUUUGUCCGUAUGCGACAAAAUUCAAGCAUGAAGCAAUGAAUUUGAUAAUUACUUAAGGUUCACCCGAAUUAAACGGAACGAUUUUUGUCGAGACCGCUGAAUAAAAUUGGGGAUCCAUGUUCCGUGAAAUGAAUCAUACGUUCAAAAGACGACAUAUGUGCCCCUGUUUCCUUUCGUUCCCUGGAAAAGGCAAUAGGGAAACUUUGAUACCCAAGAGGGGGAGGGGGCGGCGCUCCAGCAUCCAUUUGGAAAAAUUGGGAAUAUCGGGAUCAAGCCAGACGGUUUGCUCGCUAUUAUUCUCGGAUUGAUUUAUAUUUUGUUUGCUCUGCACGGUACCACUACUGUACUGACUUUUUCGAUCCAUGGAUCUGUCUAUUAGCAGGAAGAACGAUAAAACGUUCGGUAAAAACUUUCAAUCAUUAUAUUGUUUGAUUUGACAGUGUUCCAUUUUAUAUAGACUUCUUAAAAUUCAGUGUUGCUAACUCUAAAGCAUAGAUCAUUAGAGAGAUCGUAGAUACGUAUAGAGCCAAGGAUUUUGUCGAAUCUUUUCAAACAAACGGGUGAACUUUAAGUAAAAUAAAAAGUAAAUAUUUAAAUGAAGAUGAUAUAGUCAAAAAAAAAAAAA